rnacentral:rRNA from 1 species
UACGGAGGGUGCAAGCGUUAUCCGGAUUCACUGGGUUUAAAGGGUGCGUAGGAGGGCAGGUAAGUCAGUGGUGAAAUCUUUGGGCUUAACCCGAAAACUGCCAUUGAUACUAUCUGUCUUGAAUCCCGUGGAGGUGAGCGGAAUAUGUCAUGUAGCGGUGAAAUGCUUAGAUAUGACAUAGAACACCAAUUGCGAAGGCAGCUCGCUACACGAAGAUUGACUCUGAGGCACGGAAAGCGUGGGGAUCAAACAGG